UGGGGAAUAUUGCACAAUGGGGGAAACCCUGAUGCAGCAACGCCGCGUGAGUGAUGACGGCCUUCGGGUUGUAAAGCUCUGUUUUCAGGGACGAUAAUGACGGUACCUGAGGAGGAAGCCACGGCUAACUACGUGCCAGCAGCCGCGGUAAUACGUAGGUGGCGAGCGUUGUCCGGAUUUACUGGGCGUAAAGGGAGCGUAGGCGGAUUUUUAAGUGAGAUGUGAAAUACUCGGGCUCAACUUGAGUGCUGCAUUUCAAACUGGAAGUCUAGAGUGCAGGAGAGGAGAAUGGAAUUCCUAGUGUAGCGGUGAAAUGCGUAGAGAUUAGGAAGAACACCAGUGGCGAAGGCGAUUCUCUGGACUGUAACUGACGCUGAGGCUCGAAAGCGUGGGGAGCAAACAGG
rnacentral:rRNA from 1 species